CCUUGUGGGACACCCAACAUGGAAUCAUGUGGGAUGCCCUAUCUAUGAAGCUCAAACCCUUAUAGAUCAGAUAGCAUGGUGGGAUGCCCCACCAUGCCUCAUCUAAUCAUGAAGGUGGCCGGCCAAGCAUGAAGGUUUGCAAAGGGACAGCAUCUCAUGCUGCAGCCUUCUUCCUCAUGCAUCUCUUGCGAAUUGCAGCAAAUCC
rnacentral:lncRNA from 1 species